rnacentral:rRNA from 1 species
CGACGGUGAGGUAACACGUAUCCAACCUGCCGUCUACUCUUGGACAGCCUUCUGAAAGGAAGAUUAAUACAAGAUGGCAUCAUGAGUCCGCAUGUUCACAUGAUUAAAGGUAUUCCGGUAGACGAUGGGGAUGCGUUCCAUUAGAUAGUAGGCGGGGUAACGGCCCACCUAGUCUUCGAUGGAUAGGGGUUCUGAGAGGAAGGUCCCCCACAUUGGAACUGAGACACGGUCCAA